rnacentral:lncRNA from 1 species
UCCCCCGAGUAACUAACCUUUGAUUAGUUAAAGGGUCACAUGCCCAUGACAUGAGAUUCUAUAUGUAUGUCCGCUGUGUGAAUGGGUUAAAUGCAGACACGAUGGUAGUGACUGAUGAGUUGCAGGAGCAAUAGACACUUGUGUAUCUCUUGAUUGCCACCAGAUAAAGAAGACCUCCAAGGGAUUGGACGUAGAGAUGGGCAACAGGCCGAACAAUAGGUCGGGC